rnacentral:rRNA from 1 species
AUUAAACGCUGGCGGCAUGCCUUACACAUGCAAGUCGAACGGCAGCACGGGGUGGUAACACUCUGGUGGCGAGUGGCGGACGGGUGAGUAAAGCAUCGGAACGUGCCCUGGAAUGGGGGAUAACGUAGCGAAAGUUACGCUAAUACCGCAUAUUCUGUGAGCAGGAAAGCAGGGGAUCGCAAGACCUUGCGUUCGAGGAGCGGCCGAUGUCGGAUUAGCUAGUUGGUGGGGUAAAGGCCUACCAAGGCGACGAUCCGUAGCGGGUCUGAGAGGAUGAUCCGCCACACUGGGACUGAGACACGGCCCAGACUCCUACGGGAGGCAGCAGUGGGGAAUUUUGGACAAUGGGCGCAAGCCUGAUCCAGCCAUGCCGCGUGAGUGAAGAAGGCCUCGGUUGUAAGACUCUUCGUGGGAGAA